UUAGCUCAUCGCUGGUCCAUUAAUUGCUGUAAUUAUAUUUAUAACAACUGGAGCCCUUUCAAUGCUUAUCCUAUUAUUAUUGCAUGGGAAUAUUACCAGAAGAACAUGAAUAACUAAUUUGUUAUUUCUGAUUUUGAAAUUAAAAGGCUACUGAUAUGAGAGAGUGGUUAUAAAGACAUUCUUGAGGCAGUUGGAUCAAGUGAAGAAUUAACAUCAUCAUCAUCAUCAUCAUCAUCAUCAUCAUCAUCAUCAUCAUCAUCAUCAUCAUCAUCAUCAUC